rnacentral:misc_RNA from 1 species
UCAAACUUGGUCAUUUAGAGGAAGUAAAAGUCGUAACAAGGUUUCCGUAGGUGAACCUGCGGAAGGAUCAUUAAAGGGAGUUUCUCGGGGGCUCGCCCCCCUCCUCCCGUCCCUGAAAACGCGAGGCCCUCUGCUCUGUUACGUCGGCGGGCUUGUCCCGCCGCACAACGAGCACAAAACUCUGUUUUAACGUGUCGUCGUCUGAAGAGAGCGGAUAAUAAAUCAAAACUUUCAACAACGGAUCUCUUGGUUCUGGCAUCGAUGAAGAACGCAGC